ACCGACCUAUAGGAAGUGAACUGCUCUUGAUUGUACAAAUGUGAAACUAGGGUGAGAAACUUGGCUUUGCUCACAGGGCAACAAAUGGCUUCUUAAUAAAUGUCUUAAGCCAUUAGUGGUGGUGGUGGUGGUGGUGCUGCUAAAUUCAGCUUCUAUCUCUACAAAGCUUAUUUUCAUAGACCCCAUUCAACUAACCAUGAGAACAUGCCAAAGAGGGAAACAGUAAGGUAACCCUCCCCACUAAACAUCUGGUGAAACUGAGGUACAGCUAGGGAGCUGGUUUGUCUGGGAUUGCUCAACUCUCCUGGCAACAGGUCUUUGGAUACCAAAUUUAGUGUUUUUCUUUUGAAAUAAAAA